rnacentral:rRNA from 1 species
UUUUAUGAGAGUUUGAUCCUGGCUCAGGACGAACGCUGGCGGCGUGCCUAAUACAUGCAAGUCGAACGCUUCUUUUUCCACCGGAGCUUGCUCCACCGGAAAAAGAGGAGUGGCGAACGGGUGAGUAACACGUGGGUAACCUGCCCAUCAGAAGGGGAUAACACUUGGAAACAGGUGCUAAUACCGUAUAACAAUCGAAACCGCAUGGUUUUGAUUUGAAAGGCGCUUUCGGGUGUCGCUGAGGGAUGGACCCGCGGUGC